rnacentral:tRNA from 1 species
GGGGAUACAGCUCAGUUGGUAGAGUAUUUGGUUCACAUGCACAAGGCCUGGGUUCAAUCCCAGAACCCCCC